AUGCAAGUCGAGGGGAAACGACAUCGAAAGCUUGCUUUUGAUGGGCGUCGACCGGCGCACGGGUGAGUAACGCGUAUCCAACCUGCCCAUCACUUGGGGAUAACCUUGCGAAAGUAAGACUAAUACCCAAUGACGUCUCUAGAAGACAUCUGAAAGAGAUUAAAGAUUUAUCGGUGAUGGAUGGGGAUGCGUCUGAUUAGCUUGUUGGCGGGGUAACGGCCCACCAAGGCGACGAUCAGUAGGGGUUCUGAGAGGAAGGUCCCCCACAUUGGAACUGAGACACGGUCCAAACUCCUACGGGAGGCAGCAGUGAGGAAUAUUGGUCAAUGGACGGGAGUCUGAACCAGCCAAGUAGCGUGCAGGAUGACGGCCCUAUGGGUUGUAAACUGCUUUUAUAAGGGAAUAAAGUUAGUCUCGUGAGACUUUUUGCAUGUACCUUAUGAAUAAGGACCGGCUAAUUCCGUGCCAGCAGCCGCGGUAAUACGGAAGGUCCGGGCGUUAUCCGGAUUUAUUGGGUUUAAAGGGAGCGUAGGCCGGAGAUUAAGCGUGUUGUGAAAUGUAGACGCUCAACGUCUGCACUGCAGCGCGAACUGGUUUCCUUGAGUACGCACAAAGUGGGCGGAAUUCGUGGUGUAGCGGUGAAAUGCUUAGAUAUCACGAAGAACUCCGAUUGCGAAGGCAGCUCACUGGAGCGCAACUGACGCUGAAGCUCGAAAGUGCGGGUAUCGAACAGGAUUAGAUACCCUGGUAGUCCGCACGGUAAACGAUGGAUGCCCGCUGUUGGUCUGAAUAGGUCAGCGGCCAAGCGAAAGCAUUAAGCAUCCCACCUGGGGAGUACGCCGGCAACGGUGAAACUCAGAGGAAUUGACGGGGGCCCGCACAAGCGGAGGAACAUGUGGUUUAAUUCGAUGAUACGCGAGGAACCUUACCCGGGCUUGAAUUGCA
rnacentral:rRNA from 1 species